GCAGCAAACCGAGCUUCCACCGCCCCGGACCAGCUGAUCUGGAAAUGGACGGCGAGCGGCACCUACUGCGCACAGUCCUGUUACUCGGCCACAUUCCAUGAAUCGACCGCCUGCUACUCCUGGAAACUUAUCUGGAAAAGCUGGGCGCCGCCGAGAGUCAAAUUCUUUCACUGGCUGGCCAACCAGGACCGUUGCUGGACUGCAGAGAGGUUGGCCCACCCUGGACUGCAAUAUCACCCUCGCUGUCUCCUAUGCGAUCAAGAGCCGGAAACGAUCCGACACCUACUGCUGGAAUGCCCCUUCGCUCGCCAAGCAUGGCACGAGGUCUUGGCCUGGCUUCGCAUCCCAGCCCCAAUACCCAACCGCGAGCCCUCACUCAUGGACUGGUGGAAGCAUGCUAAGGAAAACACACCACUGAUCCUUCACAAAGCCCUGAAAUCCGUCGCGCUGCUCGUGCCCUGGAUGGUUUGGAAGCCUAGGAACAGCUGCGUCUUCGACAACGCAAUACCAUCCAUCAAUACGCUUCUCGAUAGAAUCAAGGACGAGGCCUGCUCUUGGGCAGCUGCCGGGAUGAUUGGGAGGGUGUGGGAGUUGAAAGGGAAUUGUUUU
rnacentral:rRNA from 1 species